GCGGGGCGGGGGCGGGGCGAUUGCGAGUGGCAGGAAGGAAGACCCGAGGGAACCCCCGAAGGACAGAGGGAUAGGGUAGGUGCGGGGCGACGUCUGCGCGACUGUGGAUCUGGGGGCGUCUUCACUGGGAUCAGCUGCAGGAUUCUGCAGAGGAGCGCCUCGGUACGGUAGAGUUCAAAGGGCGCAUUUCUGCUGGGGGCCCUUGGCCUUCAGCCCUGCCUCUUACCCCGGGGAUCACUCCCCCCAACACCAGGUCCGCGCGACCCCCCGCACCCCCACGCGCCUCGAGAGGGAGCCGGUAGGAGGAAAUGGCUUGGGAACUGGCUGGAUGGGGUCGGAGGAGGGCCCCUCCGUCUAGGCAUCCGCCCGCCCUGCUCCGCUGAUAGCGCCGACUGCGGGCCGUGCUCCUCCGCCCUUCCAUUCUCCGCUGGGCGCCGCCCGCUGCCCCAUCUAGAGCCGAGCUCCACGCGGAUCGGGAAUGCCCCGCGCGCGCUCCCGCAGCCGCGCCUGGUCCCAUGGCUGGACCGCAGGAAGUCGCCAGCGCAGCUGGGGCUGGCAGAGCUGUCCACGUGCGACUUUCGCUCUGAUUGGAUUUCCCCUCCCAUCGCAGCCCUGCCGGGCUCAAAGCAUGGUUUGGGCAGUCCAGCCCAGAUUUCCUGGAUAGAGAGACUCAUGGGGAGGAGCGUCAGCUCUGGCCAUGGGAAACUGAGGACCAUCUGGAACCAUCAGGCAUAAAACUCUUCUCCAGUUGUCUGGGCUAUGCAGAAAAAUGCUCUGAUUUUUGUUUUCCUCUUGCAGCUCUGGUUUGGGAGUGGCAGUGGCUGCUCUCAGCAUGAAUGUGGGAGGAGAUUGUGCAGGGCCAGAGCCCUGCAUUUGGCUUCUGGGGUGGGAAAGGAGAUGAAAAUGAAGAUAUUAAUAAUAUAAUUUCAUGUAACCAAUCCAAAAAGUUUAUUAUAAAGUUUAUCUUAAGGUUCAUCUCCCUGAGCCAAGAAAUUAGAGUUGGGGUGGGUAGUUGCCCUCCUCAACCUCAGCAUGAGACUCCCUGGCUGGGAGGUGUCUCCUCCGAUGCCAGUUUUCCCAGCCCAGUCUCCUUCCUGAAAUAGCAUUCCCCCCUCCCACAACACACAUAUAGACUUCUUUCUCACACACACACAUGCACCCUACAUGAAUAGCAACUUACUCCUUCUUCCCCAGGGAAAAAGUGCUAAAUAAACUCUGGUUUCAUUAUAAGGUCAGGACAUUGCUGGGGUAGGGUCAGAUACCUGGACAUUAACAUUCUUUGGAUCUGUCUGGUCAUCCAGGUGACAAGGGUAAGACUGCAGCAUCUGCUGAAACGCCUCCACUGGGAGUUUUCCCUCUUGUUAGUAGAUCCCCUUGACUCAAACCCAUCGACUUUUUUCUGUUUGUGACUCACUCCCAGCAGAGUGGGUGUGCUGCUUUUAUUUUUGGCCAAAGGAAAGGAUUAUGACAGUGAGUUUGGAGUGUGUGGUUAGGGUGUGAGAUCACUUAGAGGUGGUCCCAGAGUGUGUUGGUUUUCCCGUUGGGUGAGUUGUUUUAUUGCUGUCCCCCAGCCUCCCUCCCCAAGUCCCCUAGUAAGAAGGAAAACGGAAGGACAGAACAUGGCCUGACUUCCUGAAGGGGAAGUUUUGGGUUUUGUUUGGCUUUGAGGCAUUUGAAGUUGUCUGAAAUCCCCGAAGCUUUCAGGGAACUCCCAGGGAUUCUGACAGUUGCACAACUGUCUACAUGGAAUCACUGUAAGAGUCAGGACAAGUUAGGCUAUGCCACAGUAAAAAGCGCCACAGCUCAGUGCCCCGAAACAACAGACUCCUUUCUCGCUCACAUGACAUGCCUUUUGCAGGUUGGCAUGGGCUCUCCGCUCAUCAGACUCACCAUGUCUAAUAUUCCCAAUCACUGUGCCAAAGGGAAAUUGAGAGCACCUGGAGGAUCCCACGUCAGCAUUUAUAAGCUCCAGUCACUUUCGCUCACAGCUUAUUGGCCAGAACUAGUCAUAUGACCCCAUCCUACAAACAGGAGCAGAAGUACAAUUCUACCAUGUGCUCAGAGGGGGAAAGAGCUGGAAACAGUUGGCAAUCAGCCUUAAUGACCAGUGCAAUCUUUGAGGGCAUAGAGCGGUUAUUCAUUCAUUUAAUGAGUAGUUCUUUGAUAUCCACUAUGUAUCAAACACUGUUCUAGGCACUAAAGGUGCAACAGUAAAUGAAUAUGUUCAUGAAGCUUAUAUUUAGUGAAACAGCCAGACAAUAGAUAAACAUAAGAGUAAUAUGAUGUCAGGUUGUAAGUACUUUGAUGAAAAAUAAAGCACAUUAAGGGGAUGAAGGUGACAGAGGCUGCUCUAUGAGACUGAGUAGUCUGGAAAGACCUUUCUAAGGAGCAGACAUUUAAACACAGACCUGAAUGAAACAAGCCCUUUGUGUUCCAAACUAAGAGAACAACAGGCACAACAAACCCCCAAAACUUUCCAAGUUUUAUGAACCUGAGUUUGUUCAAAAUGCAUAUUCUUCUACCUGAUCUUCUGAUUCAGUAUGUCUGGAUUUUGGCCUGCAUUUUGCAAAAAAUUUUGAUUCACAUGGCUCACAGACCACAUUUUGAAAAUGAGGUUAUAGCAGUGAAUAGUUACAAUUGUGUGAACCCCCGCCCGGCCCACAGACAUUUGAAAAAAAUGUGCUUAUAUUUUUGUUAACUAUGAAACACAGGUCUCCAGCGCUGCUUCCUUUCCUUCUUGGCCAGCAUGUUGCAUGCGGAACUCAGCUUUCCAAAGAAGUGAGUGCUGUUUGCAAUGUGUGAUGGGGGUCAGUAAUACUUUACAUUACUAGGCUGAGACAGGGACCAUGACAAAAUGUUGUGGGAGGAUCAAAAUGUGUUUGUGAAAGAAAUCCCUUGUAAAGUGCUCCAUGUUACAUGUAUUUGCUCAAGAAACAUGCAUUGAACAUU